rnacentral:rRNA from 1 species
UGAAUACGAGAUGCUACGGCGUCGAAGCAGUGUAUGUCAGACUUCCAAGAAAAGCUCGCAAUGUCAUAAAUAAAGAAUGCCUGUACCAUAACCGACACAGGUGGGUAGGUAGAGUAUACUAAGGGGCGCGAGAUAACUCUCUCUAAGGAACUCGGCAAAAUAACUCCGUAACUUCGGGAGAAGGAGUGCCUUCUUUAAGAAGGUUGCAAUAACAAGAUCCAAGCAACUGUUUAUCAAAAACACAGGUCUCCGCUAAGUCGUAAGACGAUGUAUGGGGGCUGUCGCCUGCCCAGUGCCAGAAGGUUAAAGAAGUUGGUUAGCUUUUGCGAAGCUGAUGACUGAAGCCCUGGUGAACGGCGGCCGUAACUAUAACGGUCCUAAGGUAGCGAAAUUCCUUGUCGGGUAAGUUCCGACCCGCACGAAAGGCGUAAUGAUUUGGAUACUGUCUCGGAGAGGGACUCGGUGAAAUAGACUUGUCUGUGAAGAUGCGGACUACCUGCACCAGGACAGAAAGACCCUAUGAAGCUUUACUGUAACUUGAAAUUGAAAUUGGACUUUAUUUGCGCAGUAUAGGUGGAAGGCGUUGAAAGUAAUCUUGCGGGAUUAGUGGAGCCAUCAGUGAGAUACCACUCCUAUAAUGUUAGAUUUCUAACUUUGGAUCAUGAUCUGGUCAAAGAACAGUUUCAGGCGGGCAGUUUGACUGGGGCGGUCGCCUCCCAAAUGGUAACGGAGGCGUACAAAGGUUUCCUCUGAACGGGUAGAAAUCGUAUCUAGAGUGUAAAGGCAUAAGGAAGCUUGACUGUGAGACCUACAAGUCGAGCAGGGACGAAAGUCGGUCUUAGUGAUCUGACGGUGCUGAGUGGAAAGGCCGUCACUCAACGGAUAAAAGUUACUCUAGGAUAACAGGCUGAUCUCCCCCAAGAGUUCACAUCGACGGGGAGGUUUGGCACCUCGAUGUCGGCUCAUCGCAUCCUGGGGCGGUAGUACGUCCCAAGGGUUGGGCUGUUCGCCCAUGAAAGCGGUACGCGAGCUGGGUUCAGAACGUCGUGAGACAGUUCGGUCCAUAUCCGGUGUAGGCGUUAGAAUAUUGAGAGGAGCCUUCUUUAGUACGAGAGGACCGAGAAGGACAUACCUCUGGUGUACCAGUUAUCGUGCCAACGGUAAACGCUGGGUAGCUAUGUAUGGAGAGGAUAACCGCUGAAAGCAUCUAAGUGGGAAGCCCACCUCAAGAUGAGUAUUCUCA